UUACCUUUUAUGUUAGUAUUAGCAACAAUAUCCUCUCUGUUGUUAUUAGGUUAAUUUUUCGUUGCCAAAUAUUAUAUUUUUAAUGCCAUUAGCAACAAAAAUUUGUUGCUAAAUGUAUAAAAAAUUAUUGCUAUAUUAAAACUUGUUCAAUACUUUGAUUACAAAUUAUAUAGUUGCCAAAUCAAAAUUUGACAUUCUUUUUGUGUACCUGGCUGGCUCAAUGUCCCCAUAGCAAAUAAUGACAAAAAUACAAAAAACUAAAAUAUUAUUAACUUAAUAAAAUCAUCCACUACAUAAUCAUUCAUUAUCUUUACAAUUAACCAUCUAAAGCUACCACAGUUCUUCAAUCAAAGUAUAUAUCUACAAAUAUAGAGAGUAAACUUCAUAAUUUCGUCCCUUGUCUUCCGUAAACGUAGCGCGAAAAUUUGAUACCCAAUAUUGUAAGGCAUGUCGUAGAAGCAGUGCACAUAAUUAAAAAUAAUAGUAAAGUCAAAAAAAUGAAACAAAUAGGUCACCAGAGACACUUAGUGCCAAAAUCAAUACACAAAAGACAAUAGAGUUGUUGCGUGGUACUAAUGUACACCGUAUUGCUCAUAAGUAAAAAAAGACAAUAGAGUUGCUACGUGUACUAAUGUACACUGUAAAUUAGGAUACUUGUGUAUAUAAGCCAAUGUAAUUGAGAAGAAUGAUACAUUCCCCGCCUAUCAAAUCUGCAUAAAUAAUGACCUAUGGAGGAAGUUGGACACAACAACCACAAUAGAAAUUAGGUUGAUCAUACCUGCUCAGUAGGAAUGUUGAAAAUUUUGCCACCAAUAGUGAAGGCAACGCUAGGCAUGGAAGAAAUCUUGGCGCAGUCAACACCUGAUUGUCUCAUUGGGCUAGACCAUCACAAAGCU
rnacentral:lncRNA from 1 species